UACGAAGGGGGCUAGCGUUGCUCGGAAUCACUGGGCGUAAAGCGCACGUAGGCGGUUUGCUAAGUCAGGGGUGAAAUCCUGGAGCUCAACUCCAGAACUGCCCUUGAUACUGGCGGUCUCGAGUCCGGGAGAGGUGAGUGGAACUGCGAGUGUAGAGGUGAAAUUCGUAGAUAUUCGCAAGAACACCAGUGGCGAAGGCGGCUCACUGGCCCGGUACUGACGCUGAGGUGCGAAAGCGUGGGGAGCAAACAGG
rnacentral:rRNA from 1 species